GUACUCAUUUUGUCAGCACAUAUACCAAAAUUAGAAUGACACAUGAAAACAAGCAUGACUUCAGCACAAGGAUGACAUGCAAAUCUGUGAGGUGUUUGGUAUUUUA
ensembl:snRNA U6 U6 spliceosomal RNA